rnacentral:lncRNA from 1 species
GAAAGACCAUUUGUGGAAUUUCAAGUAGCUGCGUUUUCUCAAACAGAAACAAACUGAGGAAUGUAAUAACGAGCCCAAACUGGUUUCCUGGGAAAGGACAAGAAAGUAAAUGGAAAUGCUGGCCAGAGUAUGUUGCCACCCAAGGAGGACCCUGAUAGCAAGAAAUGGUUUUAUUUCCAGAAACCAGAAGGGGGUGGAAGCCAGCCUAUGAAUUUUUUUCUGGUCCAAGGUAAAGAAGAGCAUUUGAUUCAAAUCUUGUGGCA